AGGCUGUGAUGACUGAAAAAUAUACCAUCAAACUAUGAGAGCUUUUUGUCUCUUUGAUGUAAUCAUACAUUAUUAUAUAUCUGAGCCU